rnacentral:rRNA from 1 species
UACGAAGGGUGCAAGCGUUACUCGGAAUUACUGGGCGUAAAGCGUGCGUAGGUGGUGAGUUAAGUCUGUCGUGAAAGCCCCGGGCUCAACCUGGGAAUGGCGAUGGAUACUGGCUCGCUAGAGUGCGGUAGAGGAGAGUGGAAUUCCCGGUGUAGCAGUGAAAUGCGUAGAGAUCGGGAGGAACACCGGCGGCGAAGGCGGCUGCCUGGACCGGCCCUGACGCUGAGGCGCGAAAGCUAGGGGAGCAAACAGG